CUACGGGCCGCUGCAGUGAGGAAUAUUGCACAAUGGGGGGAACCCUGAUACAGCAACGCCGCGUGGAGGAUGACGCAUUUCGGUGUGUAAACUCCUUUUAUAUGUCAAGAAAAUGACGGUAGCAUAUGAAUAAGCACCGGCUAACUCCGUGCCAGCAGCCGCGGUAAUACGGAGGGUGCAAGCGUUACUCGGAAUCACUGGGCGUAAAGGACGCGUAGGCGGGUUGGAAAGUCAGGUGUGAAAUCCUACAGCUUAACUGUAGAACUGCACUUGAAACUUCUAAUCUAGAGUAUGGGAGGGGGAGAUGGAAUUAGUGGUGUAGGGGUAAAAUCCGUAGAUAUCACUAGGAAUACCUAAAGCGAAGGCGAUCUCCUGGAACAUUACUGACGCUAAGGCGUGAAAGCGUGGGGAGCAAACAGGAUUAGAUACCCGUGUAGUC
rnacentral:rRNA from 1 species